rnacentral:tRNA from 1 species
GCCGAAGUAGCUCAGUUGGGAGAGCGUUAGACUGAAAAUCUAAAGGUCCCUUUUUCGAUCCCGGGUUUCGGCA